rnacentral:tRNA from 5 species
UCCUCGGUAGCUCAGUGGUAGAGCAAACGGCUGUUAACCGUUUAGUCGCUGGUUCGAGUCCGGCCCGGGGAGCCA